AACGAACGCUGGCGGCGUGGAUAAGACAUGCAAGUCGAACGGGAACUUCAGCUGUAGCAAUACAGUUGAAGUUUUAGUGGCGAACGGGUGCGUAACACGUGGGCAAUCUGCCGAGAAGUGGGGGAUAGCUCGCCGAAAGGCGAAUUAAUACCGCAUAUGAUCAGCUAAGACAUCUUAGCGACAUCAAAGCCGGGGCAACCUGGCGCUUUUUGAGGAGCCCGCGGCCUAUCAGCUAGUUGGUGAGGUAACGGCUCACCAAGGCUAUGACGGGUAGCUGGUCUGAGAGGACGACCAGUCACACUGGAACUGAGACACGGUCCAGACACCUACGGGUGGCAGCAGUCGAGUAAUUUUUGACAAGUGGGGAAACCCUGAUCGAGCGACGCCGCGUGGAGGAUGAAGGUCUUCGGGUUGUAAACUCCUGUCAUUUGAGAACAAGGUGCACCGGUUAACUGCCGGUGCAUUGAUAGUAUCAAGAAGAGGAAGAGACGGC
rnacentral:rRNA from 1 species